UACGUAGGUGGCAAGCGUUGUCCGGAUUUAUUGGGCGUAAAGCGAGCGCAGGCGGUUCCUUAAGUCUGAUGUGAAAGCCCACGGCUUAACCGUGGAGGGUCAUUGGAAACUGGUCGACUUGAGUGCAGAAGAGGGAAGUGGAAUUCCUAGUGUAGCGGUGAAAUGCGUAGAGAUAUGGAGGAACACCAGUGGCGAAGGCGGCUUCCUGGUCUGUAACUGACACUGAGGCGCGAAAGCGUGGGGAGCAAACAGGAUUAGAUACCCGCGUA
rnacentral:rRNA from 1 species